UUUUGGCAAGAACGUGAAACUGUACAACAUCACAAACGGCUGCAUUGACGACAUAAUAAAAGCUGGGCACAAGAAGGAGAUCUACCAAGUUGUGGUGAACGAUCCGGGAAGGCUUGCUGCAGUGACGGUAGUUUUUGGACCUGUAGUGUUGAUGGAUCUUGUCACUCACUCUCGCAUGUAUGAGAUCUCAAACAAGGCGCCGGCUUCGAGCCGCAUUGCACUCCCAUGGACUAGUGUUAAACCUUUUCAUCGAGGAGCGAUGCAAAGGCCCGGUCUUCUCUGUGCUGUCCAAAUAUCUACUGGACAUUCUGAUAACUGACAAGAUCUUGGUCUUUGGGAAAGAGGCAGUAAAUCCCACCAACGUAUCAUACAUCUUGCGCGGAAACAUACCAGGGUUGAUUCUAGUAAUAUGACAGACGCCGUUAACGUUGCCUUUGGUAAACCUGCCUACCAAACAGACACCAACCGUCCAUAUACGGCGGACCGUACCGUUGACGAAAAUACGAAAUCGCGUUUGAUUGAAGACCAGUCAUGCACCCACACAGCGUCUCACAACGUCUCAUGAUGGGUGAAUCUCGAGCAGAUAUUCCUCAUCCGAAGCGUCAAGAUUUACAAGAGGAAUGUAUGACGAAUAUACAGACUAAAAAUGAAAACAUCAGAGAAGUAGCCUAUAAGACCUUAGUUAGACCCCAGUUAGAAUAUGCGUCCUCUGUCUGGAGUCCACAUACAAAAGAAAAUAGUGACAAAAUAGAAAAAGUACAACGUAGAGCAGUCCGCUUGGUGAAAAACGACUUCUCAUUCUACAGCAGUGUAACCGGUAUGCAGACUGAACUUGGCUGGCAGACUUUGAAGGACCGACGUGACCUCUCCUGACUGACCCUUUUUUACAAAAUUGUGUAUGGCUUGGUAGCCAUUUCGCCGCCAUCAUAUCUUGAGAGGCCUAUGAGGAUGACUCGUCAUAUGCACCCACUCUCAUUCAGACAAGUCCAUACAUCAGCCAACUACUUUAAAUAUUCCUUCUUUCCUUACACCAUAGUUCUUUGGAACGGCCUACCGGCCUCAGUUGUACAGCAGGCAGACCUAGAGGGGUACA